CACCUUUCCAGCCUCACCAAGGGUAAUAUCAGUGCGAGUGUCUUCCACCUCGGAGGAGCAUGCACAGGACAGCUGGGAAGAAGACUGAUGGCCAGGCCAGCUCUCCUCACUCUGCACUAAAGCCAGAGUGAAUCCUUUUUGCCUCUCAGGAAUCACAGUUGUUUACCCCAAGUGCAAUUGCAAUGCUGAGGAUCUCUACCUCCAAGAAUCCUCAUCAGCGAUGAAAGGGGAAUCUGAAAGAAAACAAAUUCUUAAAACUAUCAAUGAACCCACACUGUUUGGAACUCGGAGUGAAGAUGCUGAAAAGCCCCUCAAAGUUAUGAGUGGAUGAAAUCUGACUAAAACUAGAAUCCCUCCCGAAGGGAGCGCAAUGUCCAACAGCAGCUCCCUCCAUGAGUUCCUCCUCCUGGCAUUU